AUUGAACGCUGGCGGCAGGCCUAACACAUGCAAGUCGAACGGUAACAGGAAACAGCUUGCUGUUUCGCUGACGAGUGGCGGACGGGUGAGUAAUGUCUGGGAAACUGCCUGAUGGAGGGGGAUAACUACUGGAAACGGUAGCUAAUACCGCAUAACGUCGCAAGACCAAAGAGGGGGACCUUCGGGCCUCUUGCCAUCGGAUGUGCCCAGAUGGGAUUAGCUAGUAGGUGGGGUAACGGCUCACCUAGGCGACGAUCCCUAGCUGGUCUGAGAGGAUGACCAGCCACACUGGAACUGAGACACGGUCCAGACUCCUACGGGAGGCAGCAGUGGGGAAUAUUGCACAAUGGGCGCAAGCCUGAUGCAGCCAUGCCGCGUGUAUGAUGAAGGCCUUCGGGUUGUAAAGUACUUUCAGCGGGGAUGAAGGGAGUAAAGUUAAUACCUUUGCUCAUUGACGUUACCCGCAGAAGAAGCACCGGCUAACUCCGUG
rnacentral:rRNA from 1 species